rnacentral:lncRNA from 12 species
AUGCGGGUCCCGGCGGGCGAGGCGUGGUGGCGCAAGGACCCCUGUCCCGAGGCGCGAGGCUCACGGGGAGCAGCGUGUGNNNNNNNNNNNNNNNNNNNNNNNNNNNNNNNNNNNNNNNNNNNNNNNNNNNNNNNNNNNGGGGGAUUCGAGGGGCCGGGGCGCGGGGCUAGCGCUGGGGAGAGGCGCUGGGGCCUGGCUCUCACGUCCGCGCCGCGGGCCCCGCAGCAGCGGGGACUGGGGGCGCACCCCCUCCUGGCACGCGCGCCCCUCCCGCUCGCCGGGGUGCCCGGGGCGGGGGGUCUGUCCCGGAGCCCCGGGAUGACUUGGGCUCCCCCCGCCCCGACACCCCCUCCCCCCGCCAUCGGCCCGGGUUCUCGAGGCGCCAGGCCCAGCCCAGCCCCGCUUCCCUGGGCCGCAGCGGAGGGACACGGCCCGCGGGUCCCCCUCCGGCGCCAGCUCGGGUCCCCGCAGUCGGGGCGCGCGGGCGGGCGCGUGGGGGGCGACGGGGCCGGGGUCUCCACCAAGUUGUCUCCCGGGGGGGGGGGCCGGAGAGCGCCCGCGGCGUCCCGUGGGUCACCGGGGUGGCUGUGCGUGCCACCCGGGAAGAGGCCCGCGGCCGUGAGGCUGACGCAGGGAGGAGAGCGGGAAAGUCUCCGGGUCGCCAGCCCCCGAGCCCCGGGCGGCGGGAACGGCGCGGUGGGCCGACCGAGGCCCGGGGCUGGGGGCGGCCUGUGCGCGGCGGAGAGCCUCCCGAGGCGGCAGGGGGAGCCUGGCGCCGAGGGAACCCAGAGCGGCCUGACCCCAGGGAGAGGGGAUCCGGGUGCGCGCACCCGCCGCGCCUCCGGGGUCCCGGGGUCCCAGCAAAGGGGCGCACCGGGCCCAGAGCUCCCGCGGCCCGGGAGGGCGAGCGCCCCAACAGCCGGGAGACCCGAGCUCGCGCGCAGGGCUGAGCAGCAGCGUCUGCGGGGCGGGGGGCGGGGAGCCGGGGGCGGGUGCACCGGGCCUCGGCCCCUUCCUACACCCUCAAAAAAAUAUAGAUUAGGGCUCUUCUCUGCGCGGUUGCCUCGGAGCUACGUGCAGCUCGGUCCCGCCGCUCCAGCUGGGGAGGAGGGUCCCGCCGCGCCUUCUCCGGUCCCAGCCGGCAGCCCCGGGACAGGCCCUCGGCGCCCCCCUGGAUGCCCCGGCGAGACCGAGGAUGGGCUCGGGGCCCCUCGGGGCCGAGUGUGA